rnacentral:misc_RNA from 1 species
GAUGAAGAACGUAGCGAAAUGCGAUACUUGGUGUGAAUUGCAGAAUCCCGUGAACCAUCGAGUCUUUGAACGCAAGUUGCGCCCGAAGCCAUUAGGCCGAGGGCACGCCUGCCUGGGCGUCACACGUCGUUGCCCCCCCAUCUACUCCUUCGGGAUUGCGAGGGGCGGAUGAUGGCCUCCCGUGCGCCUCGUCGCGCGGUUGGCAUAAAUGCCAAGUCCUCGGCGACGCACGCCACGACAAUCGGUGGUUGCGAAACCUCGGUUGCCCGUCGUGUGCGGUCGUCGCGCAUCGAGGGCUCGAAAAAAUUGCCGGGCUCCGGCUCGGCUUUCAACGCAACCCCAGGUCAGGCGGGGUUACCCGCUGAAUUUAAGCAUAUCAAUAGCGGAGGA